rfam:Gossypium hirsutum cultivar TM-1 unplaced genomic scaffold scaffold104.1, whole genome shotgun sequence
UGUUAAAAGUUUCAUUCAUUUGUACGGUUAAAAAUUAACUGGUUGACGAAAUAACUAGACAAUAGCACCUGUCGUGCCACGGGUAGAUCAUGAUGGUGUGCAACUAGUUUCUAACAAUAAAAAUAGAUGAAAUUUUUAAAA